UAAGCUGAAAUUGUAUAAAGGGCUCAGCAAAGCAGUUUUGAGGGUCUGGUAGAAAAAGAGGGUGAAAUUGAAGAGAGAAGCAGAUCCGAAAUGUCCAUCUCAGGAGAAAUGGCCAAAGUAAGUCAGUGAAGUCACCAACCCCACUUCUGCCAGCUGAUGCAGAAAGGGAUCAAAGGUGAACUGAUGACCCGCAACCCUUUGACAGUCACUCCUGGGCUACGAGAGCACUUCGGUCUAUGGAAGGGCAGACACGAGACGUGAGAGAAUGGACACUGCCAAUGUGCACACGCCUGAGAAAGGUCCUGAAUGAGGAGGGAGAGAAUUCUGCAUUGGUCACUCAGCAGAUUCCACAGACCUACUGAGAAUAGAGACUGCCACAUGCAUCCCCAGGUGCCACGGCUUGUACCUGGAGGGGAAAGGGACAGGAGUCCAGAACAAGUAGAUUCUUGUGGGACGCGUGUAUAAGGAGUGGCUACAGGCCAACAAGGAGCUCAUCAAAAUUCAGUCCAAACAGGAAGCAACUAAGGCGAAAUCAACAGUCUCCCCUUUCUCUCCACACAGAGGCCUCAUCAGUAACAGAUCACACCAUAUACUAGACUAUCAGAAUUAGCAAGCACUCAAUGGACUGACUAAACAACAGACUAGACACAGUUGAAGAGGCAUUUCAUGAAAUAGAAAA